GUAGCCUAGUGGUUAGAGGGGAGGGGCGGCAGGUAGCCUAGUGGUUAGAGGGGAGGGGCGGCAGGUAGCCUAGUGGUUAGAGGGGAGGGGCGGCAGGUAGCCUAGUGGUUAGAGUGGGGGGGCGGCAGGUAGCCUAGUGGUUAGAGUGGAGGGGCGGCAGGUAGCCUAGUGGUUAGAGUGGAGUGGCGGCAGGUAGCCUAGUGGUUAGAGUGGAGGGGCGGCAGGUAGCCUAGUGGUUAGAGUGGAGGGGCGGCAGGUAGCCUAGUGGUUAGAGUGGAGUGGCGGCAGGUAGUCUAGUGGUUAGAGUGGAGGGGGGGCAGGUAGCUUAGUGGUUAGAGCGUUGACUAGUAACCGAAAGGUUGCUAGCUCGAUAUCCCAGAGCUGACAAGGUAAAAAUCUGUCGUUCUGCCCCAGAACAAGGUAGUUAACCCACUGUUCAUAGGCCGUCGUUGUAAAUAAGAAUUUGUUCCUAACUGACUUGCCUAGUUAAAUAAAAUAAAAA
ensembl:lncRNA